GAGAGAGAGGAGCACGCCCGGGAGGUGGGAGGUGGAGAUCCAAGGUGGACACGCCCCUCCGGGUGGAGCAGUGUAGGUGGCAACCUCGGCUUUAUGGAGGUGAGAGGUGGAGACAGAGGGGGUUCUCUAGGAGUGUGGGAGAUUGGGGUGCAGCCACCAAGUUGAAGACACUACUAUGACACCAUCCUGAACUCCCAGGGCAGACAACCUCAACAAUGUGUCCUGGAACCUCACCUCCCCAAAGCCUUACCCCACUGCAGAAAGAUAGUAAUAAACUGUGGGUAUGGAUAGACCUACAAGCAUCCAAGUCCAGUGGAAAAGCAAUUACAGAAGCCAAACCUUCCACCUUCUGCUCCCCAUAAAGAAUUUUGGUCCAUACUCCCCGAAAGGGAUAAUGAAUAGGAAGCUUCCAAUGGAGGAGACAGGACAUGGAACUCUGGUGAUGGGAACUGUGUGGAAUUGUACCCCUGUUAUCUUACAGUUUCAUUAAUCAUUAUUAAAUCACUAAUAAAAAAUUAUGGCAGUCCACAACUCCCCAGCCAGAGGUUUGGUUAGAUGUGUGGAAUGUAAACUACUCUAGUUAUUUGUGCAUAUUUCUCUUCUAUGACUCCUCCCUUCACCUUACAGAAAUAUCCAAAGAAGCUGGUCCUUAUGUGCCUAUUUCCAUUAAACUGCUUACUUUGAA